rnacentral:rRNA from 1 species
AGAGUUUGAUCCUGGCUCAGGAUGAACGCUGGCGGCGUGCUUAACACAUGCAAGUCGAACGGAAAGGCCCAAGCUUGCUUGGGUACUCGAGUGGCGAACGGGUGAGUAACACGUGGGUGAUCUGCCCCGCACUUCGGGAUAAGCCUGGGAAACUGGGUCUAAUACCGGAUAGGACCACUUCUUGGAGGUUGUGGUGGAAAGUUUUUUCGGUGUGGGAUGAGCUCGCGGCCUAUCAGCUUGUUGGUGGGGUAAUGGCCUACCAAGGCGUCGACGGGUAGCCGGCCUGAGAGGGUGUACGGCCACAUUGGGACUGAGAUACGGCCCAGACUCCUACGGGAGGCAGCAGUGGGGAAUAUUGCACAAUGGGCGCAAGCCUGAUGCAGCGACGCCGCGUGGGGGAUGACGGCCUUCGGGUUGUAAACUCCUUUCGCUAGGGACGAAGCGUUAUGUGACGGUACCUAGAGAAGAAGCACCGGCUAACUACGUG